CCCUUAGAUGUCCUGGGCCGCACGCGUGCUACACUGACACAUACAGCGAGCAGACCGGCUCCGCGAGGCAGCUGGUAAACAGCAAUAUGUGUCGUGCUGGGGAUAGAUCUUUGGAAUUUUUGAUCUUGAACGAGGAAUGCCUAGUAAGCGCAGGUCAUCAGCCUGCGUUGAUUACGUCCCUGCCCUUUGUACACACCGCCCGUCGCUCCUACCGAUUUCGAGUGGUUCGGUGAACCCUUCGGACCGAGGUUGGCCCCGUGCCGCCUUGGGAAGUCAGAGUAAACCAUAUCACUUAGAGGAAGGAAAAGUCGUAACA
rnacentral:rRNA from 1 species